GUGUAGCUCAGUGGUAGAGCAUUUACCUAGCAUGUGUAAGGCCCUGGGUUUGAUUCUCAGCAC
rnacentral:tRNA from 1 species